rnacentral:lncRNA from 13 species
AUGUGGCAGCGCCUGCAAACCAUGACAGACUACAAAGGGAAGAACAGUCGUGAGAUGCCCAGUGACAUGAGCCUACCAGACGAGCUAAAUCACUUCUAUGCUCGCUUCGAGGCAAGCAACAAUGAGGCAUGCAUGAGAGCAUCAGCUGUUCUGGACGACUGUGUGAUCACUCUCUCCGUAGCCGACGUGUGUAAGACCUUUAAACAGGUCAAAAUUCACAAGGCCGCUGGGCCAGACGGAUUACAAGGACGGGUGCUCUGGGCAUGUGUUGACCAACUGGCAGGUGUCUUCACCGACAUUUUCAACAUGUCCCUGAUUGAGUCUGUAAUACCAACAUGUUUCAAGCAGACCACCAUAGUCCCUGUGCCCAAGAAAACUAAGGUAACCUGCCUAAAUGAAUACAGACCCGUAGCACUCACGUCCGUAGCCAUGAAGUGCUUUGAAAGGCUGGUCAUGGCUCACAUUAACACCAUUAUUCCAAAAACCAUAGACCCACUCACAUUUGCAUACCGCUCAAACAGAUCCACAGAUGAUGCAAUCUCUAUUGCACUCCACACUGCCCUUCCCCAUGUGGACAAAAGGAACACCUACGUGAGAAUGCUAAUCGUUGACUACAGCUCAGCCUUCAACACCAUAGUGCCCUCAAAGCUCAUCAAUAAGCUAAGGACCCUGGGACUACACACCUCCCUCUGCAACUGGAUCCUGGACUUCCUGACGGGCCGCCCCCAGGUGGUGAGGGUAGGUAACAACACAUCUGCCACGCUGAUCCUCAACACUGGAGCCCCUCAGGGGUGCGUGCUCAGUCCCAUCCUGUACUUCCUGUUCACCCAUGACUGCAUGGCCAGGCACAACUCCAACACCAUCAUUAAGUUUGCAGAUGACACAACAGUUGUAGGCCUGAUCACUGACAACUAUGAGACAGCGGAUAGGGAGGAGGUCAGAGACCUGGCCGGGUGGUGCCAAAAUAAAAACUUAUCCCUCAACGCAAUCAAGACAAAGGAGAGGAUUGUGGACUACAGGAAAAGGAGGACCGAGCACGCCACCAUUCUCUUUUUUUGUGUGUGUGUGUGA